ACGGCGACUCCCUCCCAAAGCUUAUGCGUAGACGCGUAGUUGCUGCGGACCGGCGAUGGAGUGACGACGUGCGGCAUACCGGAACUCCUAGUAGGGAAAAAAAAUUCCCGUCACUGACACGUAAGGUCGACCGGAAACUGGGCAAGCCGGCAAGGGGAAGAAACACGAGGAGAUAGUUAUUGUGUAGCUGAUGCAAAUACAACUAAAUGAACUGUUUGGUAAUUGAGCAUCUGGGUAAUCACAAUAUUGCCAUCUACAAAAGAUAAGCCUCAGUAGUAAGAGAAAUCGCAGGGUUUGGCCUCUAAACGUCAGAGCUCGCUCAUGGCGGCAAACAUCAGAAUUCUUUGGCUCCGCCAUAAAUGGCAACCAUCAAAUUUCGUCAUGCUUUCUUCGUUCUCCAGUUCCAACCAACAAGGAAAUUCCCAACAGGAAUUUUCCACUAGGAGCAAUUUCAUUAAUGAUGCAAAAAGUGAUGCUCGGCGGAUUCUUGAAGUUCUUUAUCAAGAUGGUCCAGGGUUUGAUACAAAAACAGCUUUAGAUGAUUUGCAAGUUAGGCUUUCUGGCCUUCUAGUGAGGGAGGUUCUUGUAGGGAUACUGAAAACCUUAAACUAUGCAGAUAAGAGUAGGUGUGCCAAGAUGGGGUACAAGUUCUUUUUAUGGUCAGGUCAGCAUGAGAACUACAAGCACACAGCAAAUUCAUACCAUUUAAUCAUGAAGAUUUUUGCAGAGUCAGAGGAAUUCAAAGCCAUGUGGAGAUUAGUUGAUGAGAUGAUUGAGAAAGGUUACUCAGUUACUGCUCGGACUUUAAACAUAUUGAUAUGUACUUGUGGUGAGGCAGGAUUAGCUAGAAAAGUAGUCGAAAAGUUUAUUAAGGCAAAGGUAUUUAAUUAUAGGCCGUUCAAGCAUUCAUUUAAUGCAAUUUUACAUUCCCUUUUGACUGUGAAACAGUACAGGUUGAUUGAGUGGGUGUAUCAGCAGAUGUUGGAUGAAGGCCAUACACCUGAUAUGCUAACUUAUAAUAUCCUCCUAUGUGCAAAGUACAGGCUGGGAAAACUGGAUCAAUUUCACAGAUUGCUUGAUGAAAUGGGAAGAAAUGGCUUUUCACCUGAUUUUCAUACCUUCAAUAUACUUCUUCAUGUCCUUGGAAAAUGGGACAAACCUCUAGCAGCUGUUAAUCUUUUGAAUCACAUGAACGAAGUUGGUUAUGAUCCUAGCAUUCUUCACUUCACGACUUUGAUUGAUGGGCUCAGUCGAGCAGGCAACUUGGAUGCAUGCAAAUAUUUUUUUGACAGGAUGAUCAAACAAGGGAUAGUGCCUGAUGUGGUGUGCUACACAGUAAUGAUAACUGUAUACGUCAUGGCUGGUGAACUUGAUAAAGCCAAGGAAUUAUUUUCUGAUAUGGUUAACAAGGGGCAGCUGCCAAAUGCAUUUACCUACAACUCCAUGAUCCGUGGGCUUUGUAUGUCGAGGAAAUUUGAGGAGGCUUGUUUGAUGUUGAAAGAAAUGGAAUCAAAGGGUCGUAAUCCAAAUUUUCUUGUGUAUAGUACACUAGUGAAAAACUUGCAGAAUGCUGGAAAGCUCUUGGAAGCUGACCGAGUGGUGAGAUAUAUGGUGGAAAAGGGGUGCUAUAUGCCGCUUGUAUCAAAAAUCAGAAAAUAUAAAAGAUGUUGAAGAGGUACCUACAGAAUGAAAAUCCACCCAUUUUAGGAAGAAUGAAAUUGUUAUGCUUGGUUAUGGAGAAUGAAUUUCAUUUUCCAUUUUUACAUAUUGAGCAAUGGAAUCAAAUCAAAAUCUGGAAUCUCAAAUCCAUUAUGCACUCUUUCCUACAUACCAAGUGGACCCAUUGUGUAGGUUUAUGCAAGUGUUUAUCCAAUUACUGUCCUGUGUACUCUAGGUAUUGAUCUACCAUAUACAAAUUUUUCUGUGAGACAAUAUCAAUCACAACUAUGAAAUUCUCAUCAAUGCACACUUGCACAGAUUUCCUGCGCCUCCCUUUUCCUCACCUCCUGCUUUCUUCCUCAGAAUUCGAAGACCUUGUCCAUUUUUAGCAUUGGCCUUGUGAUCAAACAAUUACCGAUUGACAAAGCUCUGUCUAAGUUCCUCUCCGAAUUCUUCCCAUAUUUCAUUGAUGUUGAAAUUCGGGAUUUCGAUAAUGCUCCAUCUCACUCCGAAAAAGCCACCUCUAGCAAGCUAACAAGUUCCAUUUCCAACCACAAUGCUGAGAUAAUCUUUGGCCUCAGUUAUGAAAGGAUCUUAUAUUUAAGUCUAUUAGUUACAUUUGUGAUUUUAAAAAGCAAACACAUUACACUAGUUUGGAAGCCUAAAACAGAAACUAAAAUGAGAUGAUUCAAGGAAAUGCCCAGUCCUGAAACCAUGCUGCAAUAUCCCCUCUAUAGUCAACAAUCAAUUUAUGCAGUUGAUGAAAUCCACUCACCUACUUUUGUGGAGAAAAAGGUUGAUUAUCUGGAAGAUUGUGGCUUUAUUCAGGGGCAAUAUCUUUCUCUUACUACCCGGUUUCCCCUCCUUGAAGUGGAUGAAGCAGGUUCGGGUAUUGUGAGUGAUAUACCCACAAAAAUCAACUUCUAAUUUUUGGAAGUAUUGAAAUCCUGUACUUGAUGGGAGGUGAUGGAAUGAGUAACUCAGAAGGGCUAUUGGACUCUAGAAAUGUUGAUUUUUUAGAAUGUGGCAAACAGCUCUAAGGUGGAGAUAACUUUUUUGAAUUACUCAUUUGAAGCAGAUAUUAUAAGAUUCUUAGAACAAAGAUAGAACUCAGAUGGUGGUUCAAUUUGUCUGAGAAGUCCAAUCAUAUUUGAGGAAUUACAGUUAUUUGAUUCAGCAUGCAUGCCCUUCUCAUUUUUGUGAAGUCUUAUCUGAUGCAAAAUUGAAGAUUGAGAAAGAAAUGCGUCGGUUUAAGGAGCUUUGAUGAAUUAGUUGUUUGUCAGGAGCUCACUAUGAUUGAUGGCUCUUUCAAAUCAUUGCCUGUGCCUCUACUUCCGGACAAAAUGACCAAUAAAAAACAAGGUCAUUGCAUUCUCAUGUUGAGGAAAUAUUAGUUCAGUUGGAUACACUGCAUUUCUUUGUGUCUGAUGAUCUAUAUUUUAGGGGUGUUUGACAAUUGGUUGUUAGUUAAUAGUUAAUUGAUUUAGCUGAUAGUUGAUUGUGUUAACUAGUUUAACUAGUUGAUAAUAAAAAUUGUUUGAUAAAUUAGUUAUUUA